rnacentral:SRP_RNA from 1 species
GCUGGGUGCGGUGGCACGUGUCUGUAGUCCCAGCAACUCAGUAGGUUGAGAUGGGAGGAUUGCCUGAGGCUGGCAAUUCUGGGCUAUAGUACAGUAUGCUGUUCGAGUGUCCACACUAAGUUCAGCAUCAAUAAAUAUGGUGACCCCUCAGGAGCAGGGAAUCACCAGGUUGCCUAAGGAGGGAUGAACGGGCUCAGGUUGAAAGUGGAGCAGGUCAAAACUUCCAUGCUGAUGAGUAAUGAGAUCACACUUGUGAAUAGCCACUGCACUCCAACCAGGGCAACAUAGUGAGACACCAUCUCUU